UCCGGCUUGUCACCGGCGGUUUCUUUAGAGUGCCCAGCGUUACCCGAUGGCAACUAAAGAUAGGGGUUGCGCUCGUUGCGGGACUUAACCCAACAUCUCACGACACGAGCUGGCGACAGCCAUGCAGCACCUGUGUGGGGCCCAGCCGAACUGAAGGGACCAGUCGCCCGGUCCCAUAACCCCCAUGUCAAGAGCUGGUAAGGUUCUGCGCGUUGCGUCGAAUUAAACCACAUGCUCCACCGCUUGUGCGGGCCCCUGUCAAUUCCUUUGAGUUUUAAUCUUGCGACCGUACUCCCCAGGCGGAAUGCUUAAUGCGUUAGCUGCGCCACCGACGGGCAAGCCCGCCAACGGCUGGCAUUCAUCGUUUACGGCGUGGACUAC
rnacentral:misc_RNA from 1 species